rnacentral:rRNA from 1 species
UACGUAGGGGGCUAGCGUUGUCCGGAAUCAUUGGGCGUAAAGCGCGCGUAGGCGGCCAGAUAAGUCCGGUGUGAAAGUCAAAGGCUCAACCUUUGAAUGCCGCUGGAAACUGUCUGGCUUGAGUCCGGAAGGGGCGAGUGGAAUUCCUGGUGUAGCGGUGAAAUGCGCAGAUAUCAGGAGGAACACCGGUGGCGAAGGCGG